rnacentral:rRNA from 1 species
UACAGAGAUGGCAACCGUUGUUCGGAAUCACUGGGCUUAAAGCGCACGUAGGCGGGACAGUAAGUUGGUUGUGAAAUCUCACGGCUUACCCGUGAAAGGUCAACCAAAACUGCUGUUCUUGAGAUCGGUAGGGGAGAGUGGAAUUCCUGGUGGAGCGGUGAAAUGCGUUGAUAUCAGGAGGAACGUCGGAGGCGUAGGCGACUCUCUGGGCUGUAUCUGACGCUGAGGUGCGAAAGCUAGGGGAGCGAACGGG